rnacentral:rRNA from 1 species
GCGGCGUGCUUAACACAUGCAAGUCGAGCGGUAAGGCCCUUCGGGGUACACGAGCGGCGAACGGGUGAGUAACACGUGAGUAACCUGCCCCUGACUCUGGGAUAAGCCCGGGAAACCGGGUCUAAUACCGGAUAUGACUCCUGCUCGCAUGGGUGGGGGUGGAAAGGUUGGUUUUCCUUCCGGUCGGGGAUGGGCUCGCGGCCUAUCAGCUUGUUGGUGGGGUGACGGCCUACCAAGGCGAUGACGGGUAGCCGGCCUGAGAGGGCGACCGGCCACACUGGGACUGAGACACGGCCCAGACUCCUGCGGGAGGCAGCAGUGGGGAAUAUUGCGCAAUGGGCGGAAGCCUGACGCAGCGACGCCGCGUGGGGGAUGAAGGC